rnacentral:rRNA from 1 species
UACGUAGGAUGCAAGCGUUGUCCGGAAUUAUUGGGCGUAAAGAGCGCGCAGGCGGUUUGAGAAGUCAGAUGUGAAAGAGGCCGGCUUAACCGGCAAGGGUCAUUUGAAACUGACAGACUAGAGUACAGCAGAGGAUAGCGGAAUUCCCGGUGUAGUGGUGAAAUGCGUAGAUAUCGGGAGGAACACCAGUGGCGAAGGCGGCUAUCUGGGCUGAAACUGACGCUGAGGCGCGAAAGCGUGGGGAGCGAACAGG